rnacentral:rRNA from 1 species
UAGCGGAGCGUGUGGUUUAAUUCGAUGCUACACGAAGAACCUUACCCGGGUUUGACAUGACGACGAACGAACGCGAAAGCGCGAGGGCCCUUCGGGGCGUCGCCACAGGUGCUGCAUGGCUGUCGUCAGCUCGUGUCGUGAGAUGUCCGGUUAAGUCCGGUAACGAGCGCAACCCCUGCCAUAUGUUACAAGUGUCAUAUGGGACUGCCGGUAUAAAGCCGGAGGAAGGUGGGGAUGACGUCAAGUCAGCAUGGCCUUUAUGUCCGGGGCUACACACACGCUACAAUGGUCAGUACAAUGGGUUGCAAAGCCGCAAGGUGGAGCCAAUCCCCAAAGCUGGCCACAGUUCAAAUUGCAGGCUGCAACCCGCCUGCAUGAGGCCGGAGUUGCUAGUAACCGCAUAA